UCGAGCUGUAUGCAGGGAAACUUGCACGUACAGUUCUUCGGGGGCUGCGUUUCUGAGAGGAAACGCGGCUACCCACU
rnacentral:ncRNA from 1 species